GACGAACGCUGGCGGCGUGCUUAACACAUGCAAGUCGAACGGGCCUUGUCCCCUUUUUUUUUGGGGGUGGGGUUAGUGGCGAACGGGUGAGUAACACGUGAGUAACCUGCCCCUCACUUCUGGAUAACCGCUUGAAAGGGUGGCUAAUACGGGGUGUUCUGGCCUGCUCGCAUGGGUGGGUUUGGAAAGAUUCGACCGGUUUUGGUUGUUUUGGUGGGGGAUGGGCUCGCGGCCUAUCAGCUUGUUGGUGGGGUGAUGGCCUGCCAAGGCUUUGACGGGUAGCCGGCCUGAGAGGGUGGGCGGUCACACUGGGACUGAGACACGGCCCAGACUCCUACGGGAGGCAGCAGUGGGGAAUAUUGUACAAUGGGCGCAAGCCUGAUGCAGCGACGCCGCGUGAGGGAUGGAGGCCUUCGGGUUGUGAACCUCUUUCGCCAGUGAAGAAGGUCCUGCUCUUUGUGGUGGGGUUGACGGUAGCUGGGUUAAUGAAGCGCCGGCUAACUACGUG
rnacentral:rRNA from 1 species